rnacentral:rRNA from 1 species
GGAAGUAAAAGUCGUAACAAGGUUUCUGUAGGUGAACCUGCAGAAGGAUCAUUAGUGAAAGUUUCGGGCCUGCCAUACGGACGCAAACACGUCUCUGGCGCCCAUCACUAUAUCCAUACCAACCCCUGUGCACUGUGAUGACGAAUGUCAUCGAACAAAAAAAACUCGUAUGGUUGAAUGUACGUGAAAUUGUAGGUAUAGCCUACGAACUAUACACAACUUUCGACAACGGAUCUCUUGGUUCUCCCAUCGAUGAAGAACGCAGCGAAACGCGAUAGGUAAUGUGAAUUGCAGAAUUCCGUGAAUCAUCGAAUCUUUGAACGCACCUUGCGCUCCAUGGUAUUCCGUGGAGCAUGCCUGUUUGAGUGCCGCGAAUUCUCCCUCCCCUUACGGUGGCCGAAAGGCCGAAGUAGGGCGGACGGGGUAGGAUGGGUGUUGCUGCCUGGGGAUUGUACCAGGCUCGCCCGAAAUGCAUAAGCGCCAGGACCCUCGCUACCGCUCUCUAGGGAAGAGUGGCUAAGCGACCGCUGAGCAUGGCAUGAUACGUCAUUUGCUGUGUGUGGGCGGCCGGUUGGAGAGGUGUCUGCUUUACCAGCCCUUUUUUAAUUCUGGUCUCAAAUCAGGUAGGAUCACCCGCUGAACUUAAGCAUAUCAAUAAGCGGAGGA